rnacentral:rRNA from 1 species
GAUGAACGCUGGCGGCGUGCCUAAUACAUGCAAGUCGAGCGAACGGACGAGAAGCUUGCUUCUCUGAUGUUAGCGGCGGACGGGUGAGUAACACGUGGAUAACCUACCUAUAAGACUGGGAUAACUUCGGGAAACCGGAGCUAAUACCGGAUGAUAUUUUGAACCGCAUGGUUCAAAAGUGAAAGACGGUCUUGCUGUCACUUAUAGAUGGAUCCGCGCUGCAUUAGCUAGUUGGUAAGGUAACGGCUUACCAAGGCAACGAUGCAUAGCCGACCUGAGAGGGUGAUCGGCCACACUGGAACUGAGACACGGUCCAGACUCCUACGGGAGGCAGCAGUAGGGAAUCUUCCGCAAUGGGCGAAAGCCUGACGGAGCAACGCCGCGUGAGUGAUGAAGGUCUUCGGAUCGUAAAACUCUGUUAUUAGGGAAGAACAUAUGUGUAAGUAACUGUGCACAUCUUGACGGUACCUAAUCAGAAAGCCACGGCUAACUACGUGCCAGCAGCCGCGGUAGUACGUAGGUGGCAAGCGUUAUCCGGAAUUAUUGGGCGUAAAGCGCGCGUAGGCGGUUUUUUAAGUCUGAUGUGAAAGCCCACGGCUCAACCGUGGAGGGUCAUUGGAAACUGGAAAACUUGAGUGCAGAAGAGGAAAGUGGAAUUCCAUGUGUAGCGGUGAAAUGCGCAGAGAUAUGGAGGAACACCAGUGGCGAAGGCGACUUUCUGGUCUGUAACUGACGCUGAUGUGCGAAAGCGUGGGGAUCAAACAGGAUUAGAUACCCUGGUAGUCCACGCCGUAAACGAUGAGUGCUAAGUGUUAGGGGGUUUCCGCCCCUUAGUGCUGCAGCUAACGCAUUAAGCACUCCGCCUGGGGAGUACGACCGCAAGGUUGAAGCUCAAAGGAAUUGACGGGGACCCGCACAAGCGGUGGAGCAUGUGGUUUAAUUCGAAGCAACGCGAAGAACCUUACCAAAUCUUGACAUCCUUUGACAACUCUAGAGAUAGAGCCUUCCCCUUCGGGGGACAAAGUGACAGGUGGUGCAUGGUUGUCGUCAGCUCGUGUCGUGAGAUGUUGGGUUAAGUCCCGCAACGAGCGCAACCCUUAAGCUUAGUUGCCAUCAUUAAGUUGGGCACUCUAAGUUGACUGCCGGUGACAAACCGGAGGAAGGUGGGGAUGACGUCAAGUCAUCAUGCCCCUUAUGAUUUGGGCUACACACGUGCUACAAUGGACAAUACAAAGGGCAGCGAAACCGCGAGGUCAAGCAAAUCCCAUAAAGUUGUUCUCAGUUCGGAUUGUAGUCUGCAACUCGACUACAUGAAGCUGGAAUCGCUAGUAAUCGUAGAUCAGCAUGCUACGGUGAAUACGUUCCCGGGUCU